UUCCUGAAAUUCUGGAUGGUGGAAAUGCUUGCCCUCUAAAAGCAGAAGUCCCUCUGGGUGCAGACUGAUGCUUCCCUUCAAAUCUGGAGCUGGAGAAGUUUCUUCAUGGAGAAAGGGCCCUCUCCCACCGGCGCCCAGCGCUUUUGACUUUGAAUCACCUCAAGUGGGGAUCCAUCAUCUCUGUUACAAGGCCUCGGAGCGUAGUACCACACACAGACACACACGAAUGCGGACCUAUGAAUGUGCUCAGAAAAAAAACAAACACACACUGUCUCCAUAUGCCUACCAACAACCUCUAUCUCUACCGCUACCCGUCCUGAGCGCUAAGAUGUUGACGGAAGAAGGCGGAGUGGUGAGAUUGCAGCUCCCAUCUUGCUGGAGUCUCUCUUUCUCCGUUGCUGGCUUUGAAGAAGCAAGAAGCCAUGGAGCAGACCCCCAGGUGGUAAGGAAAUGCAGAACGGCCUGAAGAAGCUGAGGACCCCCUCCGUCUGAAAUCCAUCAAAAACACUAAAGCCCACAGUUCUGCAACCACAAGGAGCUGCACUUUGCAACAACCAGAGUGCGAUGAAAAGCAGAUUCUUCCCCAGUUGAGUCUCAGAGACCACAGCCCCAGUCAACACCUUGACUGUAGUCUUGUGAGACCCUAAGCAGAAGACCCAGCCCAGCCGUGCUCAGACUCCUGACCCACAGAAAUUGUGAGAUAACAAUUGUACACUUCUUGUUUUUCAAAGCUACUAAGUUGUGGUAAUAUUGUUAAACAGGAUUAGACAACACUUGAAACUAUGUUCUCUUUUUCUUCCCUCUCUGUCCUAUCAUCCUGUCAAAAACUGAACUACUUCUAUAGUGAGCUGAAUGAAUUUUUCUGCUUAAUCCAUAUCACCUUAGGUCUUAUAGGAAAAUUUGCCAAAACUUCUGGAAUAGGACUUGCUUCCUAUUUAGAAUAAAUUCAAAAGUUAGGUGCAAAGUGAAAAUAAAUUGCAAUGAAAUUGAACUUACGUAGCUAAUCGUAAUCAGUUUUAGGAUUGGGUCUGGUUAUAAAUUAGAUUAUGAUUAUUUGGUUAGAUGAAGGAAGAGGUUCCCACAGAACAGGCAAAAGUGGAGAAUAGGAAGAAUGGAGGCACUUGGCCUCUUUUUGAGAGUUUGCUUCAUGUCAAGUAUGACACAUUCAUGUUAAGUUUACAUGUUAAGACUGACGCAUUUUGAAGUUGAGAGUCUUGAUUGAUACCUGAGGGAAAUUCAGUAGUGCAGUAUUUGCUGGAGAGAGAAUAGCAAUGAUGAGAACCCAUAAAGAUGGAGGAGAAAAAAGAGAGAAAUGGUAGGUGGUUCCAAUUAGGUAAGACAAUGUGAGAAAGAGAUGACUUAGUGGUAGGCAAGUCAGCAAGCCAAGUCAUGGGUAGUGGAGCACAAUGCUCUCUGAGCGCUGUGACACCUUGAAGGCAAAUUCUACCAAAGAGGGGUAAGCACUAAGGGGCACUCCUGCCUUUGCUCAGAUCAGUCGUGUUUCCUGGAAUAUUCUCACCACCUACCACACCAUCCAAGUCCUGGGUGUCCUUCAGACUCAAUCAAACACUAGCACCCUCCUGAUAUCUUCCAUGUAAGUACUUGAUUUCAACCCAAAGACAUUUCCUCAGAUUCUCUUAAAUAAUAAAGAAAUGUCAUUGGCUCAUGUCACUGAAUUGCCUGUAGGUAAACUGGGCUGAUCCAAAGGUAUCAUCAUCAUCACAAGAUCAUCAGGGGACUAGCUAUGUCUUUAAAAAACUUUUUAAAAGUUCUGCUUCCCUCUGGCUUUCCUUGUGGUAAAAAAAGACUUUGUUUCACACCUUUCAGAGGCAGAGAAAUACCUUUAACCUAAAGUUCCAAGCAAGGCCCUGAGCAUCACUCUGAUGGACAUGCUAAGCCUGCGAUGCUCACCACUGAGCCUGCCAUUUUGAUCAGGGGAAUGGAGAGUGCUGACUGGUGGACUCCAACUGCGGCUCUGGGAGGGAACUGGCUCCCCUGGAAGCACAUGAAUUCCCAAAGAGAAGCUGGUGUCCACUCAACCUUUAUUUACACUAGCCCACGCUUGUUUAUCUACCUUGGAAAUAAAAAUUUAAGAAGAACAUUGAAUGAAUGAACGAAUAAGAAAUGGUUUUGGCAAGUUAACAUUGUUCCUAAUUUGAGCCAAUUCAUGAGUAAAGUUAGGAUGUUGGUUUCCAAUUUUGACCAAUAUUUCAUGUGUGGAUUGCAGGCCUUUCCUAAUUAGAGUACAUGACUUUUGGAAGCAAAGAUUACAUAGAGCUACUAGAAUAUUCUCCCUUAAAACAUCGUAACCAACGGAUGCAGGUUAAUUGGACUGAGGCCUUGCGGACCAGCCUCACAAACUUCUGCCAGUUAUUCCCCUCAUUGCUUUAAAAUUUUUAUUAUGAAAAUGAAUCUG